ensembl:lncRNA
CUUACACUUACACCGUGGCUUACACCGCCACUAAACCCUCAGGCAAGAAUGUCGCUUUUACUCUUUUAGUCCUCUGCUGUUUCACCUUCCCUUAUAUGACCACCCCUGGUCCUCCUGCUGUGCAGCAAACUGAUCUGUAGAGAACCUUCCCCCGUGGAGAGAAGGGCUCCCCAGGACACUGGACAGACGCUGCUUCCCCCGGCGGUGCAGAGACGUGGCGGUGGGUGUGACCAGCGCCUGUUUGACUCGAGGCAGCCGUCACCUCCGUGAGUUUGCACAUGUGAAAGGAAUAUAACAGCUGUAAAAUCAGGGCCCAUCGGUCACGGCACGUCCUCCAGCUCCUCGUCUCGCAUACGCCAACAAACAGUCCGCAAACCCCCUCGGCAGGAACCUGCUGUAAACCGAGGACUGAAAGGCACGUAACAAAGGGACGGGAGAAGAGCAGUCAGAAAGAUUACCUGGAGAAGACCCACACAGACAUGAGGAGAACAUGGAAGCUCAACUCCAAAAGCACACUGGGUGGAAACAAACCCAAGACCUUCUGCUGUGAGGCCACAGCACGAACGACCACACCACCGUGCCGCCUCUUAGGGGAUAGUCUCAAACCAAUACGUCGCCUGAGGUGCUUGAUUUAAAGGACUUAAUUCAUGGAUACAUAGGUUGGGUUUUAGCUGAACCUUUGAGGCGAUAAAAGGCAGUGGAAAUCAAAAAGAUGGAGCCUGUUUCUCUAUGAAGGUUAGUUGAUUGUGUGUUGGGUCGCUUGUUGAGCCAGAUCCUCCCACACACCUUAGUGUGACACAGUUCAUCCUCAGCAGUGGGAAAAGAUCCACAUUUGGAAACAGUACUGAAGUACUGAAUUGUAGGAAUUCAGAGGUCACGCUACUUAUAAUUCUUUUACUCUCAAUGUUCCUCAUCAAGUCCAUUUGAACAGUAACGUUGGAAUGCAAAAUAUGCUAUUCGCGGCUAAAUGUGCCGGGUCACCCUGGACACAUUAAAGUCCUCUAUAGACAAUAAGAAGAAAAAAGGAUGGACAUUUGAAUGAAUGCCGGUCUCCCUCUUCAGCCCCUACAACCCACCCUCCUCCUCCUCUCUGCCCAGCUCAUUAUCCUUGUCACACGGGACCAGGGCCCACUUGGCACAGCCUUGUAGACUUAAUUGAAUUAGACAUACCCGCUUGUUUAGGCAUUGUGCGGUGGCAUGAGAAUCUCCCGGCCAUCUCCAUGAAGGCAGGGGAGAAGCGAGGCAUCGGCAAGAUCUGAGAGUUUGGGAUUCUCAGGGAUGGAAGCGCUGCGGCGAAAAUGAAGGACCACUUUGGCCAGCGCGCCACCGGCUCCGUGCCAACCGCGGAGCUGCACUCGUCCAGGGUCAUCACUUAAUUUGCCCCAUAGGUGCGGCAAAUUCCCAGCUUCUUGGAAACUCAGAAACCCCUCCUGCAAUAGUUACCGGGGAUAUAUCAUUCAAAAACUGCAACAAAUUUGACACUGGACAAUAAGUUCAAGGAGAAUAUUGCUAUGGAGAUACUGCACCGAUGUGGUUCAUAUUUAAUUAUGGUCUCCAAAUAGAAUGUGUACUUUAGUUUUAACGUCUUUCUUUGUUUAAACUGGAAAAAUGAGAAACUCACUCAGGAUCAGUUGGCUGGUGUCGUCGUUAGUUCACUGUGCAUUAAGGAUUGACCCACAAAAAUACCUUUGGUUGAAUCAAACCCGACCAAAAUCAUUGAAAUUUGAGGCUUCAAAAUUUCCCGUUUGAAAAAAUCUAAUCGUGCAUGCGGGCAUUUUGUCAGCCAUCUGUUGUGGUGCUUGUAUACUUCCUGUUAAACCCGUGCAUGCAGCGCUCGACACCAGCAACAGCGUUCACUGCGCGGGCUUAACCCUCUGACUUCAGGAGCCAGAGCUGAUUUUGAAGUCAAGAGUCAGUCACUUUGUGACUCAAGUUUUUUUCUCUCUCUCUUUUUUUUUGUUUUUGCUUUAAAAUGGAAAGAAACCUCUUCCAAUGUGAUUGGCCUCUUGCAUUUGUCCGAGCGGGGUCCAAAUGGAGGUGCUGCAAGGGGAUGCCCAAGCGCUGUCACUACAUAACGUCACCUCCCUAACCCCGGGGGUCAGGGCCAGAUUGACACCAUAACCCACAACCCUGAUCCUCCUUCAGCCUCUUUAGAGGUGCACCCGGCCAGCAGUAAUGCAGCCCGCACGUUAUUCAUUUGGAGAUCAGCCAAGCUGAAAAGAUAAGCUCUGAAUAAUUGGGGCCCAAAGACCAUGAAGAAUCCGAUGGGAUCUUUGAGUCUUUAACUUUUCCCCCCCUUCUCUCCAUACCAUCCUAUAACUGGAGGAAACCCCUUGUUAGAGGGGCGCCAUCAGGGAGCCAGAUGGGCGAUAAGAGGAGUGGGAUGAUGCGGUGCUUUAGAGAGGGAGGACACUGGCUGUAGGGGCCUGUCACUCACGUGCAGGGGGAGUGAAUGUGGAGCUUAAUGAAUCCUCCACAGCCACCAGUGGACAAGACGCAGCUCUGUGUGGACACCAGAAAGCCAGACAGUACACCAUCCAGCCUCCUUUUCAGUCUUUCUCUUCUCCUCUCUGAUGGCCUCGUUGCCUUUAUCUUUCUGGUAAAGGCCGAAUAAGUGUUUUUCAUGUGAAAGUAAUGCAUUUAGAAAAAAACAAAAGUGUCUUCAAUUAGAAAGCAUGAAAAUUAUACAAAUUGAGGCCUUGGGUGGCAUACAAGGAGUUUAUGACAACAUUCCCCUCGAGACAGAAUAUAACUCAGUGACAGAGCGGUCGAAUCUCUCUGGGAGGUGGUGUACUGGAAACAAUGCACAUGAAAUAAGACAGUUUGCUAACUGUGGAUGCUGUAGUUAAUCAUCCCUCUGUCAAAUCAGCAUUCCCCCUGCCUGCAUGGAAGACAUCACAGCAGAGCGACACCACAGCACUGGUAAUGUUAGGUCCCAGGUCAGCUUGGUACAGAGCAGUAGAAUCUCAUGCUGCGCUCUGCCUGUCCGGUGUUGUCCUAACAGAGCAGCAUUACUGCAUGAGGCCAGAGACAAGACAUUGUUGUAGCUUCUUGAAAACAGGACCACUAACAAAUUCUCAUUAACAUCAGCGACAGAUGUCGUCUUUUUCUUUCUUUUAAAUUCUCCUUCAUAUUUUCUGUAGCAAGAAGUGUAAAGCGCAGCUUAAAAUACUUAACAAGUAAGAUUAUGCAUUACUUGUUUAUAUUUGUGUCUAAAUUUCUCAGUCAAUCGUCAGAUUAAUUGUGAUAAUUUGGCAGAGAUAAUCCCAUUUAGUCCAAGUAACCGUGUGCCAUUUGUUACUCUGUAACACUACACUACACUACAAUUCAACACUGAUUGCAAGAACCAUCGCAUGUAAUUACGAGCAUUAAUGCACAAUUACUGUUAUCUGCAGAUAUGAAUACGUUUGUUGCUUUUUCCAUAUGCUUUACGGCUAAAUGUGUUUGCUGGAAGGAAUCUACCCCUGUUAAUGAUUCAUAUGAAUUCAUACUAGAAAAUGAAUAAAAUAACAAGUGAAGUAGCCUGAACGCGUUGACAAGCUGCACAGCAAUCAGUAGCAGAGUUCAUUCGGGACACUUAUCCUGCUGACGUUUUACCCCUUUGUCGUUCUGUACUUUGCCAAAAGCCAGGCUUUGUUAAACAAAAUAAUCCUGAUUAUUACAAUAACAUUAAACGCUGCACGAGACCUCGGACCGAAUCCAUUGGCAGGACAAGCUCGGACAAAUCUCCAGCCAUCAAGUCAAGCAAAAUAUUUUCUCUACCCAAUCGCAAGGGCACAACGCUUCCUGUCGUGGAGACAGUGUCAACCAAUGGUUCCUUGUUUUCCACAAACCGUGUUUCCUGUGUUGCAGGGCAUUUUUAUGGAGAAGAAAGAAAUCCAUUCCCACAUGAGCCACUCAGUCAUGUCAUGUUUACAGCAUUUAAAACAGCUGACAGAGCAGAGAACAUGUGUGUAACUUGGACAGCAAACUGGAUCACUGAAAUUGAAGAAAGGGUAACCUGUGGUCCAUUCAGAGGCAUAUUGAUAAAAGUGGGAAGAAUUUAUUACUUAGUUGUCACUAGUGAACAAGUUCAAAAUACAACUAGACCAUCAUAAAUAUUCUUUUUGAUUGGAAUGUGAUGAAAUGCUGAAUUGAUUCAUAAAAAAAGCACAAAGAGAAAAGACAAAAUAGAAAUACAAUUUGUUGUACACCACUGGCACACAAAAGUAUUGUUGUAUUUGAAUAUCUUGUGUGAACAUCUUGUGAGUUAAACUGUCAACGGUAAAAGGGUUUUCUUAUUGGCUGAACAUUUGACAUGUUUUUAAAGUGUUCUCUAUCUUCUUUAACCAUCUGACAGUCACUAAUGAAUAUAUGUGCAGACAGCUGAAGUGGGCUUGUAUGAUAAAUGAAUGACGGUUUUGUAAUUCUCUUCAUUUAAACAAAGGGCAAACGAAUAAAAACCCAUUAAGAUGACAUGUGAAUUGGCAAACAAACUGUUUAAUUUGUGUCUGCUGUGUGAAGGGGGCUUUCCGUCGCUG